CUUUCAUCCCCUAUUUCUCUCAAUUUUUCAUCCAAGAUUCCAAGGAUUCUUGAAGAGCUUUUUGACUAGAAUUUGUUACAAAUUGAUCCUAAGUGCUAAAAGGCUAAGAGAAAGUGUCAAGCCAUCAAGAGUGGAGAGUUUAAGUGGGUUCUACUUGUGUCCAAGGAAAUAGGUGAGGACUUGGUCGGAUGGACGUCGGCAAGCGUGGAGAUUUGGCUGCACUGUCCCUUGUUUCGUUUUGUUUCGAAAGUCCUUGUACAUAUGAUGUUUUGUUUUGUAACGAAUGUGAUUACUAAGUAAAGAAAA